AGUGAACGCUGGCGGCGUGCCUAAUACAUGCAAGUCGAACGAUGAAGUCCUAGCUUGCUAGGAUGGAUUAGUGGCGCACGGGUGAGUAAUAUAUAGUUAAUCUGCCCUACACAGAGGAACAACAGUUGGAGACGACUGCUAAUACCUCAUACUCCUAUUUGACAUAAGUUAAAUAGGGAAAGUCUUUUCGGUGUAGGAUGAGACUAUAUCGUAUCAGCUAGUUGGUAAGGUAAUGGCUUACCAAGGCUAUGACGCGUAACUGGUCUGAGAGGAUGAUCAGUCACAUUGGAACUGAGACACGGUCCAAACUCCUACGGGAGGCAGCAGUAAGGAAUAUUGCGCAAUGGGGGAAACCCUGACGCAGCAACGCCGCGUGGAGGAUGACACUUUUCGGAGCGUAAACUCCUUUUAUCAGGAAAGAAUAAUGACGGUACCUGAUGAAUAAGCACCGGCUAACUCCGUG
rnacentral:rRNA from 1 species